AAAGGGCUGCAGUAUAUUGACUGUACAAAGGUAGCAUAAUCAUUAGUCUCUUAAUUGGUGACUUGUAUGAAAGAUUGGAUGAAAUAUAAACUGUCUCUUAUUUAUAAAAAGAAAUUAAUUUUUUAAUUAAAAAGUUAAAAUAAAUUUAAAAGACGAGAAGACCCUAUAGAGUUUCAUAUUUUAUUUAAAUAAAGUUAUUUUUAAAAUUAAUAAUAAAAUUUAAUUUGAAUAUUUUAUUGGGGUGAUAAAGAAAUAUAAUUAACUUUUUUUAAUUCAUUAACAAAAAUAAUUGAAUAAUUGAUCCAAAAAUUUUGAUUAAAAGAAUAAAUUACCUUAGGGAUAACAGCGUAAUUUUUUUUUUUAGUUCGAAUAAAAAAAAGAGUUUGCGACCUCGAUGUUGGAUUAAGAUAAAAUUUAUAUGCAAAAGUAUAAAA
rnacentral:rRNA from 1 species